rnacentral:lncRNA from 1 species
CUGUUAAUCCCUUGGAUGAAUCGUAGACACAUAUAAAACAUGAUUAAAAUUAAAAACUAUCCAUUUUAUUAAUGAACAAAAUUUACAAGUACAAAUUUACGUCCCAAAAUUAUAAUAUACAUCAGCCAACAAUUAGCUUCUAGGGCACACAUCUAACAAACUCGUACUUAUACUAAAGUCAAUUGGCCAUAAGCCUAAGUCCCAUCUUCUCAAGAUGAACUUCAGUCUUCUGCUAGCUGAGAGACUUCGUUAGUGAGUCCGCCAC